rnacentral:rRNA from 1 species
GACGAACGCUGGCGGCGUGCCUAAUACAUGCAAGUAGAACGCUGAAGGAGGAGCUUGCUUCUCUGGAUGAGUUGCGAACGGGUGAGUAACGCGUAGGUAACCUGCCUGGUAGCGGGGGAUAACUAUUGGAAACGAUAGCUAAUACCGCAUAAUAGUAGAUGUUGCAUGACAUUUGCUUAAAAGGUGCAAUUGCAUCACUACCAGAUGGACCUGCGUUGUAUUAGCUAGUUGGUGGGGUAACGGCUCACCAAGGCGACGAUACAUAGCCGACCUGAGAGGGUGAUCGGCCACACUGGGACUGAGACACGGCCCAGACUCCUACGGGAGGCAGCAGUAGGGAAUCUUCGGCAAUGGACGGAAGUCUGACCGAGCAACGCCGCGUGAGUGAAGAAGGGUUUCGGAUCGUAAAGCUCUGUUGUAAGAGAAGAACGAGUGUGAGAGUGGAAAGUUCACACUGUGACGGUAGCUUACCAGAAAGAGACGGCUAACUACGUG